UUUCCUACGGGGCGCAGCAGUCGAGAAUCAUUCACAAUGGGGGAAACCCUGAUGGUGCGACGCCGCGUGAGUGAAGAAGUAUUUCGGUAUGUAAAGCUCUAUCAGCAGGGAAGAUAAUGACGGUACCUGACUAAGAAGCUCCGGCUAAAUACGUGCCAGCAGCCGCGGUAAUACGUAUGGAGCAAGCGUUAUCCGGAUUUACUGGGUGUAAAGGGAGCGCAGACGGCAAGGCAAGUCUGAUGUGAAAGUCCGAGGCUCAACCUCGGGACUGCAUUGGAAACUGUCUGGCUAGAGUGCAGGAGAGG
rnacentral:rRNA from 1 species